rnacentral:rRNA from 1 species
CCCUUAGAUGUUCUGGGCCGCACGCGCGCUACAAUGAUGAAUUCAACGAGUUUAUAACCUUGGUUGAAAAGCCUGGGUAAUCUUUUGAACUUUCGUCGUGAUGGGGCUAGACCCUUGCAAUUAUUGGUCUCCAACGAGGAAUUCCUAGUAAACGCAAGUCAUCAGCUUGCAUUGAUUACGUCCCUGCCCUUUGUACACACCGCCCGUCGCUGCUACCGAUUGAGUGGUCCGGUGAAUUAUUCGGACCGGUGGACUGUGGGGAAACCCGCGGCCUGCUGGGAAGUCUUGUGAACCUUAUCACUUAGAGGAAGCAGAAGUCGUAACA